GUUAGUUACACUGUGAACAGGUUACUAUGUAACAUGUUAGUUACACGGUGAACCGGCUACUAUGUAACAUCUUAGUUACACAGUGAACCGGCUACUAUGUAACAUGUUAGUUACACGGUGAACCGGUUACUAUGUAACAUCUUAGUUACACGGUGAACAGGUUACUAUGUAACAUGUUAGUUACACGGUGAACCGGCUACUAUGUAACAUCUUAGUUACACAGUGAACCGGCUACUAUGUAACAUGUUAGUUACACGGUGAACCGGUUACUAUGUAACAUGUUAGUUACACAGUGAAACGGUUAAUAAGUAACAUGUUAGUUACACUGUGAACAGGUUACUAUGUAACAUGUUAGUUACACGGUGAACCGGCUACUAUGUAACAUCUUAGUUACACAGUGAACCGGCUACUAUGUAACAUGUUAGUUACACGGUGAACCGGUUACUAUGUAACAUCUUAGUUACACAGUGAACAGGUUACUAUGUAACAUCUUAGUUACACAGUGAACAG
ensembl:lncRNA